rnacentral:rRNA from 1 species
UACCAGCUCUCCGAGUGGUAGGGAUGAUUAUUGGGCUUAAAGCGUUCGUAGCCGGCUUAGCAAGUCUCCUGUUAGAUUCAGCGACCUAAUCGUUGAGCCGCGGGAGAUACUACUAGGCUAGGAGGCGGGAGAGGUCAACGGUACUUCCGGGGUAGGGGUGAAAUCCUAUAAUCCCGGGAGGACCACCAGUGGCGAAGGCUGUUGACUAGAACGCGCUCGACGGUGAGGGACGAAAGGCCGGGGGAGCGAACCGGAUUAGAUACCCGGGUAGUCCCAGCUGUAAACGAUGCGAGCUAGGUGUUGGGGUGGCUACGUGCCACUUCAGUGCCGCAGGGAAGCCAUUAAGCUCGCCGCCUGGGGAGUACGGCCGCAAGGCUAGAAAACUUAAAGGGAUUGGGCGGGGAGCACCACAAGGCGUGAAGCUUGCGGUUC